UACGUAGGGUGCAAGCGUUAAUCGGAAUUACUGGGCGUAAAGCGUGCGCAGGCGGCUAUGCAAGACAGAUGUGAAAUCCCCGGGCUCAACCUGGGAACUGCAUUUGUGACUGCAUAGCUAGAGUACGGUAGAGGGGGAUGGAAUUCCGCGUGUAGCAGUGAAAUGCGUAGAUAUGCGGAGGAACACCGAUGGCGAAGGCAAUCCCCUGGACCUGUACUGACGCUCAUGCACGAAACGCGUGGGGAGCAAACAGG
rnacentral:rRNA from 1 species